AGAAAGUAUUUAAUCAAACACUAUACAGAAAAAUAAAAAAGAUACAAGUGCAACUGUUGAGGUAGUAAUAAUUAGCAACUAAAGGUUACAAUAAAAUAGCACUGACAUGGGAAAGUCUAAAACCCUGAGUAAAAACAAAAUCUGUAAACUGCAGCUCUGCAACAUCAAGGUUCUGUCUCUUCCAAGGAGCAGCAGAGGAUGAUCCUGCCCCAUCUGAUCAGUGGCUCUCUGGCCAGUAAAUCAGCAGUGGACUUUGAAUGCAACAAAAGAACAAAUGAACUCCAUAGCUCUAAGAGCCCUUCAAAACUGAAUGGAUUCUGUCACAAACAAGCUGUUGUGCCUGAGAGUGAUGAACUAGCUGUCAUGAGGUCUAAAGGGUUUAUGUUCCCCCUCACCAACUGCCUUCUUCAGCACCAGUGUCCUCCAGGACUGGAAAAACGUGGCUGGCCAGACCCAGUUCCUGGGUCAAGCUACUGUAUUUUGGUGCUGGAGAGGAAGAGAUUUCCAGUGAAACAGUUAAAGGUAUCAAAAUGUCAACAGAUGUCAAAAGGAAUGGGUCCUGAAAUACCACAGAGUAGGUGAGCAGUCUCAAUCUUCUGUGUGGUUUUCAUGCCAGUUAUUGCCAGCAGAAAUGAAUAUAUUUUGAGUUACCUGGUCCUGGUUUCCUUACUCUAAAGAUGAAAGCACAUUCCAGUUAUAUGUACCUCCAUAUAGCCUAAGCCAAAGUCAAGGUAAUCUAUUUUUUUGACUACAUCUUUUUAUCUUGAACAACUAUUUCAGGAAAAAUACAGACUGAUGAUUCUAUAAUGUAUCAAUUAAUUAAACUGAUAACAUGUUAGAUAGACAAAACUUUCAUUUUGCAAUGACUUAUUUCUGAACUUUGAAUAAUUCUGAUAAAGUCAAUGGAAAUACAGAGAAUAUAUACAUAUAUAAA
rnacentral:lncRNA from 1 species